UACGUAGGGUGCGAGCGUUAAUCGGAAUUACUGGGCGUAAAGCGUGCGUAGGCGGUUCGUUAAGUUCGUUGUGAAAGCCCCGGGCUCAACUUGGGAAUUGCGCUCGAAACUACGUGGCUGGAGUGUGGCAGAGGAAGGUGGAAUUCCAGGUGUAGCGGUGAAAUGCGUAGAGAUCUGGAGGAACACCGAUGGCGAAGGCAGCCUUCUGGGCCAACACUGACGCUCAUGCACGAAAGCGUGGGGAGCAAACAGG
rnacentral:rRNA from 1 species